rnacentral:rRNA from 1 species
CACGUAGUUAGCCGUGGCUUUCUAAUAAGGUACCGUCAAGGUACAGCCAGUUACUACUGUACUUGUUCUUCCCUUACAACAGAGUUUUACGAUCCGAAAACCUUCUUCACUCACGCGGCGUUGCUCCAUCAGGCUUUCGCCCAUUGUGGAAGAUUCCCUACUGCUGCCUCCCGUAGGAGUCUGGGCCGUGUCUCAGUCCCAGUGUGGCCGAUCACCCUCUCAGGUCGGCUACGCAUCGUCGCCUUGGUGAGCCAUUACCUCACCAACUAGCUAAUGCGCCGCGGGCCCAUCCUGUAGCGAUAGCAGAACCAUCUUUCAACUUUCAAACAUGUAGUUUAAAAGUAUCAUUCGGUAUUAGCACCGGUUUCCCGGAGUUAUCCCCAUCUACAAGGUAGGUUGCCCACGUGUUACUCACCCGUCCGCCGCUAGCGUUACUUCGGUGCAAGCACCAAAGUACGCCGCUCGACUUGCAUGUAUUAGGCACGCCGCCAGCGUUCGUCCUCGAGCCAGGAUCAAACC